UUUGGGCUAGAGUUAGAGCUAGAAACUAGCUCUAGCUCUAGCCGGGCUUGAAGGAUCCAAACAGGGCCAUUGGUCAUCCCGUCCGUUCUCUGUCAAGCCGCCACGGUUCCUUUCUUCGUUCUUCCCGUGUGAUGUGGCGUUUGGUGUGGCCUUGUGCCCGUCGAGGUCCAGGCGUGGAACCCCAGCCCAGGCACGGCGGCGCCGGCGACUCGUGUGACUGCCCCUGUCCUAGCCCGGCGCAACGUUGCCCAUGCCCCUGCGGCCCCAACGUCCAACCAUCUUCCUUCUGUCUUCUGAUCGGCGCAGCGUAGGCGCGCACCCUUUCCUCAGGCGCCGCUGCUCCCUAUCACUGCUCUCAUCAACAAGCAGUCCAGAUCUUCAGGAAGGUAAGCACUAACCAAGCAGACAAGUUGUACGCCUGUGCUAGAUUUGCAAUUUUGCAUAACUGAACUGGAUUAGGUAAGUUCAUAAGUAGUUGGUCUGUUGAUGAUUAUUAAUACUCUUCUACAAGCUAAUUGAGUUGGCUCUAUUAUUACUUGUGUCAACGGCAUGUGUUGAGAGAACAUUUUUAGCUAUUAAUAUAAUUAAGAGAGAAUUGCAUAACAAGAUUGAAGAUGAUUGGUUGAAUGAUUUAAUGGUUUGCUUCACUGAGAAAGAGAUCUUCAAAUUCAUUGAUGAUGAACUCAUUAUUCGACGAUCUUCAAAUUCAUUGAUGAUGAACUCAUUAUUCGACGAUUUCAACGUCUCAAAACUAAGAGACAAUUGUGAGGUCAACAAAAACUUAACGGUACUAUUGGGUGGAUCGGCUAACUGAUCCAGAGACGUAGCUUGUGGACUGUCGAUCUCCACAGCAAGCUUAGUCCACGAGUUCUGUGCCUUAUGACAUAUUAACCAGUAAACAAGUUAGAAUGUGCCCAUACUUUUUUUAUAUAUAUAGCAACUCUACUGGGGAACAUUGCUUUGAUUUUUGAUAUGUGUGUAUAUAUAUAUUCAUUUUCAAACUAAAAUUAAUUAAUGGCUCAAGUUAAUUGUUAAGAAACAUUUGGAUCGUAAUCCAUUACCACCCCUAGAUACCUUAGCACAGAAAGCUAGAGCCACAAAACAGGUAUGACUUAGUUCAAAAAUAAAUUAUACAUCAGUAACAAAAAAAA